GACGAACGCUGGCGGCGUGCUUAACACAUGCAAGUCGAACGGAAAGGCUCCAGCUUGCUGGAGUACUCGAGUGGCGAACGGGUGAGUAACACGUGGGUAAUCUGCCCUGCACUCUGGGAUAAGCCUGGGAAGCUGGGUCUAAUACUGGAUAUGACCUUUCUCCUUAUGGGGUUUGGUGGAAAGUUUUUCGGUGUAGGAUGAGCCCGCGGCCUAUCAGCUUGUUGGUGGGGUGAUGGCCUACCAAGGCGACGGCGGGUAGCCGGCCCGAGAGGGUGAUCGGCCACAUUGGGACUGAGAUACGGCCCAGACUCCUACGGGAGGCAGCAGUGGGGAAUAUUGCACAAUGGGCGGAAGCCUGAUGCAGCGACGCCGCGUGAGGGAUGACGGCCUUCGGGUUGUAAACCUCUUUCAGCAGGGACGAAGCGUAAGUGACGGUACCUGCAGAAGAAGCACCGGCUAACUAUGUG
rnacentral:rRNA from 1 species